AAAGGAGUGUGGGGCUCAAGGUAAUGAGGAGAGAUUGAGAUCCUUAAUGAUAAUUCAGUACGAGAGAAGGGAAUUUAACGAGAGGGAACCCUCUCACAUCAGAUGAGUAUAAUACUUUUGUGUUUCCUGAUAUCAUUCUUUGUCUUACUUCAUUUUAGUUAUUCGUUUAUUCUGAGAUAUUUUGUGUAUUAUUGAGUCAGGUUCCUUGGGAUGUGGGACUUGACAAGUUGGUGCUAACAGAUAUUAUGA
rnacentral:lncRNA from 1 species